AGAGUUAAAUAGUACGUGAAAUUGUUGAAAGGGAAACGAUUGAAGUCAGUCAUGCUUGCAGGGAAUCAACAAAGUGGUUUUCUUCCUUGUGCACUUCCUUGCUUGACAGGUUAGCAUCAAUUUUGAUUGUCAUUAAAGAACUGGGGGAAUGUGGCUUCUUCGGGAGUGUUAUAGACCCUGGUAGAUGUGGCGAUUGGGAUUGAGGAUUGCAGCGAAUGCUUCUUGGCUAGUCAUCUGGCUUCUGAUGGUCACCUUGCUUUUGAUAGCUUGCUAACGUUGGUGAGAUUUGAUUGUCUAGAUGUUGGAGUGAUCAUAAAUUUGCUAAGGAUGCUGACGUAAUGGUUUUAAACGA
rnacentral:misc_RNA from 1 species